ACGGGUGAGUAACGCGUGGGAAUCUACCUAGUUCUACGGAACAACAGUUGGAAACGACUGCUAAUACCGUAUACGCCCUAAGGGGGAAAGAUUUAUCGGAAUUAGAUGAGCCCGCGUAAGAUUAGCUAGUUGGUGGGGUAAUGGCCUACCAAGGCGACGAUCUUUAGCUGGUCUGAGAGGAUGAUCAGCCACACUGGGACUGAGACACGGCCCAGACUCCUACGGGAGGCAGCAGUGGGGAAUAUUGGACAAUGGGCGCAAGCCUGAUCCAGCCAUGCCGCGUGAGUGAUGAAGGCCUUAGGGUUGUAAAGCUCUUUCAGUGGGGAAGAUAAUGACGGUACCCACAGAAGAAGCCCCGGCUAACUUCGUGCCAGCAGCCGCGGUAAUACGAAGGGGGCUAGCGUUGUUCGGAUUUACUGGGCGUAAAGCGCACGUAGGCGGAUUGGUCAGUUAGGGGUGAAAUCCUGGAGCUCAACUCCAGAACUGCCUUUAAUACUGCCAGUCUCGAGUCCGGAAGAGGUAAGUGGAACUCCUAGUGUAGAGGUGGAAUUCGUAGA
rnacentral:rRNA from 9 species